rnacentral:lncRNA from 1 species
GUAUAUAAUUAAUUACCAUCUACCAUAAAUUGUCAUUAUUGCGUUUAAUAGCGCUAUUAGCUAGCUCCGCAAACAGCUGAUAGCGAUAAAUAGCGUCAAAAUUCGCGCCGCGAAUAGUGUCUCCUCAAAUGCACCCAUAGGCUGCGUUCCGUUUCAUGUAUGAAUGCGCAUGAUUUAUUGCUUAUCCUUGUUUAACAUUCGGUGAACAAUAAGCUUACUGACCGAAGGGAUGGAAAAGAUAUCUUCGGAUUUGAUGAUUUUGAUUAAUUAACCUAGGAAUUAUACUGCGACAUGUACUCGUAUUUUGUUGUUUUUUGGGAUGAAUGGUACAAUACCGGAAUGGUACAAUACCGCUACAAUACCGGAUUCUUGAAUUAUCUUAAAGUCUCAAGUUUUUAAAUGGCCACCCAAAAAUAAGAAUGCUACUAAUGAAAGUAAAAGAGGAACAAAGCCUCAAGAAAAAUGGAUAACAGUUCCAUAUUCCAAAUUAUUAGGACCUUUCGAUACUUUCAAAGAAGCGAGAGAAGUUGAGAACAAUACUUUAGAUAUUUCAACGAAUGAUGAAAAACUUGCGGAAGUGACAAAAAGAAAAAUACUGAGGUUUCACAAAAACGUGCAAUUCAAAAACCAUAUCGUUUUCUUUCUUCCUCUUCCAAUUCUUCUUCUGAGGAAGAAGAGGAAAGUCAAACAAAGACAAAAGCUAUUAAGAGGAAGAGUAGUCAACAUUCAAUGAACCAAACAACAAAUAAAAAUCUAAUAGAGACAACAGAAAAUUCAUGUAAUAAUAAACCUCCAACAAAUUACAAAUCACUAAAUGCAAGAGAAUUUUGUCAUACGUCGAUUAAAGAAUCAUGGAAUGAAAAUGAUUACUAGAUUGCACUAAGGAACAAAUUUUUGAGAAAGACGAA